rnacentral:rRNA from 1 species
AAUGAACGUUGGCGGCGUGGAUUAGGCAUGCAAGUCGUACGGGUCGGUGUAGCAAUACAACGGCAAGUGGCGAAAGGGAGAGUAACACGUAGAUACCUACCCUCUGGUCGGGGAUACCGCGGCAUAACCGCAAGUAAUACCCGAUAAAAUCUCCGGAUCAAAGGUGUGAUUCCGCCGGAGGAGGGGUCUGCGUUCUAUCAGCUUGUUGGUGAGGUAAUGGCUCACCAAGGCUAAGACGGAUACGGGGUGUGAGAGCAUGCCCCCGCUCACUGGGACUGGGACACUGCCCAGACACCUACGGGUGGCUGCAGUCGAGAAUCUUCGGCAAUGGGCGCAAGCCUGACCGAGCGACGCCGCGUGCGGGAUGAAGGCCUUCGGGUUGUAAACCGCUGUCGAGGGGAAUGAAGUGUAGGUGGGUACUCCCAUCUAUUUGACAGAUCCCUGGAGGAAGCAUGGGCUAAGUUCGUGCCAGCCGCCGCUGUAAUAC